rnacentral:tRNA from 1 species
GAGGCCUUAGCUUAGUUAAAGUAUUUGAGUUGCAUUCAGAGGAUGUGGGUUAAAAUCUCACAGGCUUUA